rnacentral:tRNA from 2 species
CCGCUCGUAGCUCAGCUGGAUAGAGCGCCACCCUCCGGAGGUGGAAGUCGGGGGUUCGAAUCCCUCCGAGCGGGCCA